rnacentral:rRNA from 1 species
ACAGCAGCAGCCGCGGUAAUACGGAGGGUGCAAGCGUUAAUCGGAAUUACUGGGCGUAAAGCGCACGCAGGCGGUCUGACAAGUCAGAUGUGAAAUCCCCGGGCUUAACCUGGGAACUGCAUUUGAAACUGUCAGGCUGGAGUCUUGUAGAGGGGGGUGGAAUUCCAGGUGUAGCGGUGAAAUGCGUAGAGAUCUGGAGGAAUACCGGUGGCGAAGGCGGCCCCCUGGACAAAGACUGACGCUCAGGUGCGAAAGCGUGGGGAGCAAACAGGAUUAGAGACCCCUGUAGUCCCUGUCUCUUAUAC